rnacentral:rRNA from 1 species
CACGUACUGCGCGAGCGUUAUUCGGAAUCACUGGGCGUAAAGGGUGCGUAGGCGGUCAGGUUAGUCAGGUGUGAAAUCCCACAGCUCAACUGUGGAACUGCACUUGAAACUGCCUGACUUGAGUGAUCUAGGGGUGAGCGGAACUUCCGGUGGAGCGGUGAAAUGUGUUGAGAUCGGAAGGAACACCAAGAGCGAAGGCAGCUCACUGGGGAUCAACUGACGCUGAGGCACGAAAGCCAGGGGAGCGAACGGG